GAUGAACGCUGGCGGCGUGCCUAAUACAUGCAAGUCGAGCGAACGGACGAGAAGCUUGCUUCUCUGAUGUUAGCGGCGGACGGGUGAGUAACUCGUGGAUAACCUACCUAUAAGACUGGGAUAACUUCGGGAAACCGGAGCUAAUACCGGAUAAUAUUUUGAACCGCAUGGUUCAAAAGUGAAAGACGGUCUUGCUGUCACUUAUAGAUGUAUCCGCGCUGCAUUAGCUAGUUGGUAAGGUAACGGCUUACCAAGGCAACGAUGCAUAGCCGACCUGAGAGGGUGAUCGGCCACACUGGAACUGAGACACGGUCCAGACUCCUACGGGAGGCAGCAGUAGGGAAUCUUCCGCAAUGGGCGAAAGCCUGACGGAGCAACGCCGCGUGAGUGAUGAAGGUCUUCGGAUCGUAAAACUCUGUUAUUAGGGAAGAACAUAUGUGUAAGUAACUGUGCACAUCUUGACGGUACCUAAUCAGAAAGCCACGGCUAACUACGUG
rnacentral:rRNA from 1 species